rnacentral:rRNA from 1 species
GUCUAAGUUCCUUGGAACAGGACGUCAUAGAGGGUGAGAAUCCCGUAUGUGACCGGUAACCAAGCCCAUGUGAAACUCCUUCGACGAGUCGAGUUGUUUGGGAAUGCAGCUCUAAAUGGGUGGUAAAUUUCAUCUAAAGCUAAAUACCGGCCAGAGACCGAUAGCGCACAAGUAGAGUGAUCGAAAGAUGAAAAGCACUUUGGAAAGAGAGUUAAAAAGUACGUGAAAUUGUUGAAAGGGAAGCGCUUGCAACCAGACUUGCUCGCAGGUAAUCAACCGUCCUUUUGGGCGGUGCACUUGCCUGUGAUCAGGCCAGCAUCGGUUUGGGCGGUCGGAUAAAGGCCCCGAGAAUGUAGCUCCCUCCGGGGAGUGUUAUAGCUCGGGGUGCAAUGCGACCAGCCCGGACCGAGGACCGCGCUUCGGCUAGGAUGCUGGCGUAAUGGUUGUAAGCGACCCGUCUUGAAACACGGACCAAGGAGUCUAACAUCUAUGCGAGUGUUUGGGUGUCAAACCCAUGCGCGUAAUGAAAGUGAACGGAGGUGGGAACCCUUAAGGGUGCACCAUCGACCGAUCCUGAUGUCUUCGGAUGGAUUUGAGUACGAGCAUAGCUGUUGGGACCCGAAAGAUGGUGAACUAUGCCUGAAUAGGGUGAAGCCAGAGGAAACUCUGGUGGAGGCUCGCAGCGGUUCUGACGUGCAAAUCGAUCGUCAAAUUUGGGUAUAGGGGCGAAAGACUAAUCGAACCAUCUAGUAGCUGGUUCC